rnacentral:rRNA from 1 species
AUAUGGUCAAGUUACUAAGGGUGUAUGGAGGAUGUCUAGGCAUCGAGAGGCGAUGAAGGACGUGGUAGACUGCGAUAAGUCCGGGGCAGGUGUCAAACAACCGUUAAUCCCGGAAUUUCCGAAUAGGGAAACCGAACUUUGUUUAUACGAAGUUAUCACCGGCUGAAUGUAUAGGCCGGUUGAAGCCAACGCAGGGAACUGAAACAUCUAAGUACCUGUAGGAAAGGAAAUCAAAUAGAGACUCCGUCAGUAGCGGCGAGCGAAAGCGGACAAGCCCAAACCGACCUUCGGGUCGGGGUUGCGGACAUCGGUAAGGAGUUACAAAGACAUCACAAGCGGAAUCAGCUGGAAAGCUGGACCAGAGAGGGUGAAAGUCCCGUAUGCAAAAGUGAAUGUCCUCCGUUACUGCCGAUGCUCCAGAGUAGCACGGAUCUCGUGAAACUCCGUGCGAAGCAGGGGAGCCCAUUCUCCAAGGCUAAGUACUACUCGAUGACCGAUAGUGAAAUAGUAGCGCGAGCGAAAGAUGAAAAGUACCCCUAUUAGGGGAGUUAAAAGUACCUGAAACCAUACACUUACAAAGCUGUAGGAGGGCUAUGGUUACUCUUCGGAGUAACAAUGCCUGACUGCGUGCCUUUUGCAUAAUGAGCCGGCGAGUUACCUUUUACGGCAAGGUUAAGCACUUCAGGUGCGCAGCCGAAGCGAAAGCGAGUCUGAAUAGGGCGUAAGUCGUAAGGGGUAGACGCGAAACCACGUGAUCUACGCAUGGCCAGGUUGAAGGGGAUGUAAAAGUCUCUGGAGGACCGAACUCAUUAACGUUGAAAAGUUAUGGGAUGAGCUGUGCGGAGGAGUAAAAGUCUAAUCAAACGUGGAGAUAUCUCGUUCUCUCCGAAAUAGCUUUUGGGCUAGCGUUGAGCGUUUCUUUACGGGGGUAGAGCUACUGAAUGGGGACAAGGGGCUACCCGCCUACUUUCCCCAACCAAACUCCGAAUACCGUAAAAUUAAGCUUGGCAGUCAGUCUGCGGGUGAUAACAUUCGUGGUCAAAAGGGAAGCAACCCAGACCGCCAGCUAAGGUCCCGAANNACAGUCAGGAUGUUGGCUUAGAAGCAGCCAUCAUUUAAAAAGUGCGUAAUAGCUUACUGACCGAGCAGUCUGGUGCCGACAAUGAUCGGGAAUAAGCAUAGAACCGAAGCUGCGGAUUUAAUAUACUAUCUUCGGAUAGUCUAAUAAGUGGUAGGAGAGCGUAACAAUCAGCGUCGAAGCGAUACGGUAACGAAUCGUGGAGCGUUUGUUAGUGAUUAUGCCGGCAUGAGUAACGAUAAAACAGGUGAGAAUCCUGUUCGCCGUAAACCUAAGGUUUCCUGGGGAAGGUAGAUCCGCCCAGGGUUAGUCGGACCCUUAGUCCAGGCUGAAAGGCGUAGACGAUGGANNAGCAGGUUAAUAUUCCUGCACUAGUUCAGUGGACGAAAACAGUGACGCAUUUUAAUACGCAUAUCCCGUGAUUAGUCGUGCGGGUACCGCAAGGUCGAGGCCGUUUUUCGAUGCCGAAGUAUGUUUGUAGAGUGCCAAGAAAUAGCUGUCGUAGGACGAAGCUGAACUAUCCGUACUAAAACUGACACAGG